ACCUCUAGCAUAAAAAGUAUUAGAGGCCCUGCCUGCCCAGUGACGUACGCUUAAACGGCCGCGGUAUCCUGACCGUGCAAAGGUAGCAUAAUCACUUGUUCCCUAAAUAGGGACUUGUAUGAACGGCUUAACGAGGGUUCAACUGUCUCUUACUUCCAAUCAGUGAAAUUGACCUCCCCGUGAAGAGGCGGGGCUACAUAAAUAAGACGAGAAGACCCUAUGGAGCUUAAAUCUUACAGUCUAAAUGCACCAACAAUGACCCCCGGGCCUAAACACAAUGCUCACAGACUGGAAAUUUUGGUUGGGGUGACCUCGGAGCACAAAACAACCUCCGAAUGAUAUUACUCCAGACACACACGUCUAAAUCUUCGUUCAUUAAUUGACCCAAACUUCUUGAUCAACGGAACAAGUUACCCUAGGGAUAACAGCGCAAUCCUACUCGAGAGUUCAUAUCGACAGUUAGGGUUUACGACCUCGAUGUUGGAUCAGGACAUCCUAAUGGUGUAGCCGCUAUUAAUGGUUCGUUUGUUCAACGAUUAAAGUC
rnacentral:rRNA from 1 species